CGAGCAGCUCUGGGGAGCGGAAGCGGCGACGCAGUUUUGCGGACCCGCUGUUCCCAUUUGUAUCUGUGGCCUGAUUGGCAAAGUCUGUGAACUCAACUGCUGCUGUGACCCUGACUGCUCCUCUACAGACAUCAGUGUCUUUACCUCCUGUCUGCAGGGCAGUGAACUAACAUCCUAAUCUGGGAACAUCUGUCAGCACCAUGGCUGAAGGACAAAACGAGACAGAAUAUCCAAUGACUACAAAAAGAAUGAGAAUGGCCACAG